CCUACGGGAGGCAGCAGUAAGGAAUAUUGGACAAUGGGCGAGAGCCUGAUCCAGCCAUGCCGCGUGCAGGAAGAAGGACCUAUGGUUUGUAAACUGCUUUUGAAUGGGAGAAAACCUGGGUACGUGUACCCAGCUGAUAGUACCAUUAGAAUAAGCAUCGGCUAACUUCGUGCCAGCAGCCGCGGUAAGACGAAGGAUGCAAGCGUUAUCCGGAUUCAUUGGGUUUAAAGGGAGCGUAGGCGGAUAGAUAAGUCAGUGGUGAAAUCUCUGGGCUUAACCCAGAAACUGCCAUUGAUACUGUUUAUCUAGAGUACAUUUGCUGUGGGCGGAAUAUGACAUGUAGUGGUGAAAUACUUAGAUAUGUCAUAGAACACCGAUUGCGAAGGCAGCUCACAAAAAUGUAACUGACGCUGAGGCUCGAAAGUGCGGGGAUCAAACAGGAUUAGAUACCCUGGUAGUCCGCACUGUAAACGAUGAUUACUCGCUGCUUGGAGGCAACUCUGAGUGGCUUAGCGAAAGCGAUAAGUAAUCCACCUGGGGAGUACGCCGGCAACGGUGAAACUCAAAGAGUAGUACGGACGUUGNGAGAGCGACGACGACGACGAGGAGGGAGGAG
rnacentral:rRNA from 1 species